rnacentral:miRNA from 1 species
UAGCCAAUGGGAAUAACAGAU